rnacentral:lncRNA from 1 species
GUCCACUAUAUAGUGUUAUAUGGUUGGUUCAAUGUAUUUAUGUCAACUGUAGCUCACAGUCCUGUUUAAAACAUAUAUAAACUUUAUUAAAACUAAACAAACGGUGCAUCUUGGUGAUGUAAGAGAGCAUGGUUGAAUAUGGUAUAGUUGAAUUAAGCCCUCCUUUGAGAGAAAUGCCCCACACUGGUACGGUUUACUGUAAACGAGGCUUGUUAGCAAACCGCUGGCUGUGGAGCUCACGGUGCAGUGAGCAGGGCUGCGUGGGGCUGCAUGCGUGGGCAGCCAUGACACAAAUGACUCAGCAUUUUGCUACCCAGCAGAAAAUAAAAAAAAAUCCCUUAAUAAAUUUUACUCUGAACGUACAACUUUUAGUUCAGACAAUUGAACUCUCACUUAAAAUAACCGAUUCUUUAAUAGCGCUAGUCUUAGAGUUUAGACUGGGUGUGAAAAGUGCUUACAGAACUGUGGCAGAAGCUGCCAGAGCUCCGGCAGGCACUGUGUGGGCUUCAGUAGCAGAGUCGUCGUGCAGGCUGCGCCCAAAAAGGUCGCCGGAGGAAGAGCCGGGCCGAGUGAGGAAACGGACGGCUGCUAUGGCUUCAGGUUGGGAGCAGGCUGCUGAUGCUUGGUGA